UAUCAACUCCGUAGUUCUCUUAAGGAUCCGUGGUUCCCAUAGUGAUUAGGCGCACAUUCCGGUGGGAGUGACCGGAAACACUUGCUGUGAACUCCCUGCCUGCAGGUCUCUAUGGGAACUCCACCCUCAGCCUACCGUCAGUCACCAGGGCAAUGCAGAAGAAAACUUCAAGUUUCAUCUCAUGUCUAAGUCUCCGCUCCAGUCAGAAUGGCCAUCCAGCGCAAUACAAAUGACAGCAGAUGCCAGCGUGGGUGUGAGGAAUGGGGAGUCACUAUCACUGUUGGUAGGAAUGUAAACUAGUGUAGCCAUGUUGGAAUCAGUCUACACAUUUCUCAGAAACCUCCCGCUGGCUGGCUUUGUGGUGCUGGGAGGUGCAGGAGACGCAUUAGGACCAAUGGUGUCAGCCAGGGUUGGACCCUGCAAGCUAGUUACACCCACCACCUGCCAGUUUUCAUAUGGUCUGCUCAGCACUCCAUUUCCAUGGCCAUGGCUCUGCCUGCAUCUCUGGAGACCUGUUCCUGCCAGGGCCAACCAGACCACCACAGACACCAGUGAUCACGAGGUAAGGCCCCUAUCUCCAAUCCCCUGUCUGUUGCUUCCUCUGGGCAAACCCAACAAUGGCAAGCUCUGCCCUGCCUCUACUGCACUCCAUUGCUGCCACAACUCCACCUACAUCCAUGGAGGCCUGCUGCUGCCCACUCAGGACAAACAAAGGCCUGCAACCACCAGGGACAACCAGAUCU